UACAGAGGUCUUAAGCGUUGUUCGGAUUCAUUGGGCGUAAAGGGUGCGUAGGCGGCGCGGUAAGUCGGGUGUGAAAUCUCGGAGCUUAACUCCGAAACUGCAUUCGAUACUGCCGUGCUUGAGGACUGGAGAGGAAACUGGAAUUUACGGUGUAGCGGUGAAAUGCGUAGAUAUCGUAAGGAAGACCAGUGGCGAAGGCGGGUCUCUGGACAGUUCCUGACGCUGAGGCACGAAGGCCAGGGGAGCAAACGGG
rnacentral:rRNA from 1 species